CGACUUAUUGCUUGUUACAGGAGAGCAUCCAGCAGCCAUGCAACACGGAAACUCGAGCAAUAGCGGUGCAGCAACAAGAACGCUCGCGUUGCUCCUGUUGCUCCUGCACGCCGGUUCAUUUGCGAGGUGACUGGUAGAUCACGGACUCUUUCAAAGGAAGAUCGAAAACAAAUGAGUCAGCCAAAAUCUCGAGAAAAGGACUCGACAACAUGUAAAUGGGUGUUUAGUAUGAUACAAUUAAACUCGACGCAAUCCACGGAACACUUAGCGUCAGCGAUAAUCAAGGAUUUGCGCGCUAUUCGUUAUCGUAAUUAACGAGUAUACCGAGUUUCUGCCAAGUUGGAUGACUGCCACGUUUCUUUGAUAACGUUCCCUGUUCAUGUGUUGCAAAACGAAAUAAAACGCGCACUUUUCAAAAAAUCGUUUUGCUUUAAAAACUAUACAUAUUUUAGUUUAAGAAGCGCAACAAGCAAAGUAGCAAUAUAGAGAGUUCUGUGUUCGAACGUAUCCAAAAA